GGUGAACGUCUGGCAGAAUUAUUGUCUACAUUUGAGAAUUUUUAGUCGUAAAAAUGAGCUCAAAGCCAUUCCAGUUUUGCAGGCCAUUCUUGAACGAGCUCAGCCGGACAAUGGGAACAUUGAAUAUUUUUAAAAUCAUUUGGAAAUAAUGCAUGCAACUUUGUAGUAUUUUCAACCUGAAUUUGCAUUUUAUACCGGAUAACUUGUCAAAUACAAUUGGCCCAUUGCAGAAUAAUUAAGUUAAAUUAUGUCAGACAAUUCGUGACAAGAUUGCAAGAAUUUUAAAACAAUGGAAAGAUAAUGGAACAUUUCGGUCACUGAAUCGUGACUGCAAGAUCGUAUUGUAUUUAUAUUCAAAAGUAAACUGCACAAAUUGUUUAUUUUCCUACGAUUCUUCGUUUAUAACUACAGGUUGUGUUUCAUGAUAAUUUUAGCAUUUUAAUAAAUUAUUUACAAUAUUAGUUAAGCCAACAUGCAUAAUUAUAUUGCUAUUUAAGUUGUACAGUUCUAUACAUAUAUAUUUACACUAAUGU